AGAAUAUAAGAACCCGUCUCUAACUUUUAACUAAAAAAGCUAAGAACCGGUUCUUAAAUAAGAGUUUUAAGAGCCGGUUCUUAACUUUUUUAGUUAAAAGUUAAGAGACGGGUUCUUAUAUUCC
rfam:Brassica napus, WGS project CCCW01000000 data, contig: 3746